CAGGUCUUCCACGCCAGUACGGACUAGAAGUCGGCCGCGGUCGGAGGUCUCGACAGGGUGCUCUUCACGUCCGUCGGCUCCCCCUCCGCACUUCGCUUCACUGAUAAAGACCCGUGAUCUAUUUGAGACUUCUGAGGCGGAUUCUGCUCUCAUCUCGGUCCGUAUUCUUAGUCGAGGGCGUCUGUCGCGUCACCUUGCCCUCCUGGACCCUGUCGAUCUCAGGUGACUUCAAGUAGGAAAGGUUGCUGUUGAUGUAGCGUUUGGUGGUCGCGUUUUCUGUCGGCGAGCGAGCAAGCGUUCGCUGUGACCAGCAUCCGGAGAGGGAGGGCGCUGCGGGGGGGAGGGGGGGGACUUUCGAAACUUGUUGCUCAGCGUAACGACUUGUUUCCAGGACGCUGUGUAUUGUGGCGUAGGAACAGGCAGCGCGUCGCCCGUUUCUCUCUAAAGCGAGGGCACUAAGUGCGAUGGAGUAGUGGUGACGCCAUCUAUGCGCAUGGUUUGGAAAUGACUAAUUACGUUAUUAGUGCGCUUGGUGCAGGAACUGAGGCGAGGCACGACAUGCAGAACUGAAUGCAAGGUGAAAGCAGCAUCACAUGUAUAAUGGGACCAAACACCGAUAAGAGUCAUUUCCAUAUUCAUGAAGUCUUUUAAGAAACUGCAACGGGAAAGCUGCAGUCGACGUAUUUCCGUAUCCAUUCACUUGCAACAAGAUCCUAAUUCUCCGUGUGUGUAGGAGAACCAUCACGGCCGGAGAAGCAUCUACCACACACAACCACACUACCCAAUCAACCCUACCAUACCCCAACCUCACACUACCUCCUAUCCUCCAUCCCCAUCCCUAAC
rnacentral:lncRNA from 1 species